ACUCAAAGGAAUUGACGGGGGCCCGCACAAGCAGCGGAGCGUGUGGAUUAAUUCGAUGCAACGCGCAGAACCUUACCUAGGCUUGACAUGCUGCUGGUAGGGACCCGAAAGGGAACCGACCCGCAAGGGAGGCAGCACCGGUGCUGCAUGGCUGUCGUCAGCUCGUGCCGUGAGGUGUUGGGUUAAGUCCCGCAACGAGCGCAACCCCCGUGCCUAGUUGCCGUUUCUAGGCAGACUGCCGGGUGAACCCCGGAGGAAGGUGGGGAUGACGUCAAGUCCGCAUGGCCCUUACGUCUAGGGCUUCACACACGCUACAAUGGCCGGUCCAGAGGGUUGCCACGCCGCGAGGCGCAGCUAAUCCCCCAACACCGGCCUCAGUCCAGAUGGUAGGCUGCAACUCGCCUGCCUGAAGUCGGAGUUGCUAGUAACCGCGCGUCAGCAUAGUGCGGUGAAUGCGUUCCCGGGCCUUGUACACACCGCCCGU
rnacentral:rRNA from 1 species